CUAGUACUCCCUCCGUUCGGAAUUACUCGUCCAAGAAAUUAAUGUAUCUAGAUGUAUUUUAGUUGUAGAUACAUCCAUUUUUGUGACAAGUAAUUUCGAACGGAGGGAGUAUAUA
rnacentral:pre_miRNA from 1 species